rnacentral:rRNA from 1 species
UUCCGUAGGUGAACCUGCGGAAGGAUCAUUAAUUUCGGUGGAUUUCCACUGUUAUGAGGGGGAUUUCGGUCCCUUCUCUCCUUCCUUGUCUUUUGAGUACCCAAGUUUCCUUGGCAGGCUUGCCUGCCAAUUGGACAACCUAUAACCCUUUUAAUUUUAAAUCAGCGUCUGAAAACUAUAAUAAUUACAACUUUCAACAACGGAUCUCUUGGUUCUGGCAUCGAUGAAGAACGCAGCGAAAUGCGAUAAGUAGUGUGAAUUGCAGAAUUCAGUGAAUCAUCGAAUCUUUGAACGCACAUUGCGCCCCUUGGUAUUCCAUGGGGCAUGCCUGUUCGAGCGUCAUUUGUACCCUCAAGCUUUGCUUGGUGUUGGGUGUUUGUCCUAUUCUUUGUAAUAAGACUCGCCUUAAAACAAUUGGCAGCCAGUGUUUUGGCAUUGAAGCGCAGCACAUUUUGCAAUUCAAGCUCUAACACUUGCGUCCAUAAAGCGUAUUUUACACUUUUGACCUCGGAUCAGGUAGGGAUACCCGCUGAAC